rnacentral:rRNA from 1 species
UUAAAAAGCUCGUAGUUGGAUCUCGGCGGGCAGGGGGUGGUUCGCUCUUCAGCGCUACUGCCCCGCUUUGCCCGUGUGAUUGGCGGAGGUUUCGGGGUGCUCUUCGUUGAGUGACUCGGAGCGCCGUCAGGUUUACUUUGAAAAAAUUAGAGUGCUCAAAGCAGGCUUUUCACGCUUGAAUAUUCGUGCAUGGAAUAAUGGAAUAGGAACUCGUUUCUAUUUUGUUGGUUUUCGGAAAUCGAGUUAAUGAUUAACAGGGACAAUUGGGGGCAUUAGUAUUCAGACGACAGAGGUGAAAUUCUUGGACCGUCUGAAGACUGACUACUGCGAAAGCAUUUGCCAAGAGUGUUUUCAUUAAUCAAGAACGAAAGUUAGAGGUUCGAAGGCGAUCAGAUACCGCCCUAGUUCUAACCAUAAACGGUGCCAGCUAGCGAUCUGCCGAGUUUUUUUUGUAGGCUCCGCAGGAAGCUUUCGGGAAACCAAAGCUUUUGGGUUCCGGGGGAAGUAUGGUUGCAAGCUGAAACUUAAAGGAAUUGAC